GAAUCACUCUAAGGACAGGGCUAGGGGUGAAUCACUCUAAGGACAGGGCUGUGGUGAAUCACUCUAAGGACAGGGCUGGGGGUGAAUCACUCUAAGGACAGGGCUGGGGGUGAAUCACUCUAAGGACAGGGCUGGGGUGAAUCACUCUAAGGACAGGGCUGGGGGGGAAUCACUCUAAGGACAGGGCUGGGGUGAAUCACUCUAAGGACAGGACUAGGGUGAAUUACUCUAAGGACAGGGCUGGGGGGAAUCACUAUAAGGACAGGGCUGGGGGGAUCACUCUAAGGACAGGGCUGGGGUGAAUCACUCUAAGGAAAGGGCUGGGAGUGAAUCACUCUAAGGACAGGGCUAGGGGUGAAUCACUCUAUUUACAGGGCUGGGGUGAAUCACUCUAAGGACAGGGCUGGGGGUGAAUCACUCUAAGGACAGGGCUGGGGUGAAUCACUCUAAGGACAGGGCAGGGGUGAAUCACUGUAAGGACAGGACUGGGGUGAAUCACUCUAACGACAGGGCUGGGGGUGAAUCACUCUAAGGACAGGGCUGGGGGUGAAUCACUCUAAGGACAGGGCUGGGGGUGAAUCACUCUAAGGACAGGGGCUGGGGUGAAUCACUCUAAGGACAGUUGUGGGGUGAAUCACUGUAAGGACAGGACUGGGGUGAAUCACUCUAACGACAGGGCUGGGGGUGAAUCACUCUAAGGACAGGGCUGGGGGGAAUCACUCUAAGGACAGGGCUGGGGUGAAUCACUAUAAGGACAGGGCUGGGGGGAAUCACUCUAAGGACAGGGCUGGGGUGAAUCACUCUAAGGACAGGACUGGGGUGAAUCACUCUAAGGACAGGGCUGGGGGGAAUCACUCUAAGGAAAGGGCUGGGAGUGAAUCACUCAAAGGACAGGGCUAGGGGUGAAUCACUGUAAGGACAGGGCUGUGGUGAAUCACUCUAAGGACAGGGCUGGGUGUGAAUCACUCUAAGGACAGGGCUGGGGGUGAAUCACUCUAAGGACAGGGCUGGGGGGAAUCAAUCUAAGGACAGGACUGG
rnacentral:lncRNA from 1 species